GAUGAACGCCGGCGGCGUGCCUAAUACAUGCAAGUCGAGCGAACAGAUAAGGAGCUUGCUCCUUUGACGUUAGCGGCGGACGGGUGAGUAACACGUGGGUAACCUACCUAUAAGACUGGAAUAACUCCGGGAAACCGGGGCUAAUGCCGGAUAACAUUUAGAACCGCAUGGUUCUAAAGUGAAAGAUGGUUUUGCUAUCACUUAUAGAUGGACCCGCGCCGUAUUAGCUAGUUGGUAAGGUAACGGCUUACCAAGGCAACGAUACGUAGCCGACCUGAGAGGGUGAUCGGCCACACUGGAACUGAGACACGGUCCAGACUCCUACGGGAGGCAGCAGUAGGGAAUCUUCCGCAAUGGGCGAAAGCCUGACGGAGCAACGCCGCGUGAGUGAUGAAGGUCUUCGGAUCGUAAAACUCUGUUAUUAGGGAAGAACAAAUGUGUAAGUAACUGUGCACGUCUUGACGGUACCUAAUCAGAAAGCCACGGCUAACUACGUG
rnacentral:rRNA from 1 species